AGAGUUUGAUUCUGGCUCAGGAUGAACGCUAGCUACAGGCUUAACACAUGCAAGUCGAGGGGUAGCAGGGUAGCAAUACCGCUGACGACCGGCGCACGGGUGAGUAACACGUAUCCAACCUUCCCAUAACUCAGGGAUAGCCUUUCGAAAGAAAGAUUAAUACCUGAUAGUACUUUUUCAAGGCAUCUUGAGAAAGUUAAAGAUUUAUUGGUUAUGGAUGGGGAUGCGUUCCAUUAGAUAGUUGGUGAGGUAACGGCUCACCAAGUCUUCGAUGGAUAGGGGUUCUGAGAGGAAGGUCCCCCACAUUGGUACUGAGACACGGACCAAACUCCUACGGGAGGCAGCAGUGAGGAAUAUUGGUCAAUGGGCGAGAGCCUGAACCAGCCAAGUAGCGUGAAGGAAUGAAGGUCCUAUGGAUUGUAAACUUCUUUUAUAGUAGAAUAAAGUGAUCCACGUGUGGAUUUUUGUAUGUAUACUAUGAAUAAGGAUCGGCUAACUCCGUGCCAGCCGCCGC
rnacentral:rRNA from 1 species